UUUGUUUAUUUUCUGAGGAGAGAAACUCGGUAAUGUGACUCGGACUUUAGGCGGUAAUGUUCUAAAUUGGGAAUUCCUAGAUUUAAUGAGUUGAGUGGACUAAUGAACCUCCAGAUGUCUAUGUACACAUGUAUGAAUAAACUGUUGUACUCGCGCAUGCGAGCUUAUCC